GCACUAAUUGUGUGAAGUGUUCGGUAAUCUCCUAAUCUCGUUCCAAUAUCUUACUAAGUUAAUGGAAUCGGUACUUUAAGGGAAUUUCACCACAUAUGCAUCAUUUGGGUUAAUAGCGUUUAUUUGAACAAUAAUUGACCAUCUUCCGUGAGAUUACUUUGUAGUCUGUAGGUACCUACUUAUUAUUUCAACUCGGCUAAGUUCGGAAGAUAUUGAAAGGAGAUUUCCGUAUUUUUUUUCUGUAUUGUAUGUCACUACACAGAUUAUAAAAACAGUAUGAUAAAAAAUUAUAAUGCUUUAUGGAGUUUACAGUCUGUUUUUUUUUCAAUUGAUGAAAUUAAUAAAUUAUUUACAAGUUCUUAUGUAUUUAUUAAAAACUAUUUUCGAAUAUUUAUGAAUGGUUUGAAAGUAAUACUUGAUUAAUAUUUUUGAAAAUACAAAUUAGACGAUCCAAUACGAGCUAAAUUAUAUGCGUGUAUACAAUAUUUACAUAUUCAUGAUCAUUUAUUACGUAAUCGUUUGUAUUGUAACUAAUAGAUAAGGGCUAUACAAGAAUCUUAUGUAUGGUAUGACUACAUCUCGUCCACAUUUGUUACUCUUGUAAAAUGUACCCUUACUUUAUUCAUAUACUUACUUUGUACAAAUGUAAAAAAAAGAAAAUGUAUUUAUAUACAAUGACUUAGUUAUUUAUGGCAUGGUAGAGCUAACUACUGAAUAAAAUAACAAUUUUGCAUACUUUGCGUAAUAUGUCGAAUUAAUUCCUGGGAGGUAAAUUUAAAGAAUGGCCUGCUAGAUAGGGCACUUCCAGCCAGAUUCUAGGUUUCUAGAGAAUUAUGUUAAUAUAUGUAGGGCGUCCGCUAGCUAGCGCGGUUGCACGGAGCGGGUGAAGUGAGCGGGUUCACGAAAUGUAGUAUGAGCGUCCGUGCACCCGCGCCAGCUAGCAGAGUCCCGCAAAUAGGAGAAACGUGCUGACACUAUACAAAUAACUCGGCACGGGCACGGUCCGAAGAAUACAUAUGUACUAAAUAAAAUAAAACGUAUAUCAGCAGAAAAACCUCCCGUGUUCUUUGAUUUCUUGUGCCCGUGGUGUGACACCAAGUAGAUACUUAACAGUGUAUGUGCUUCGUCUGUCAUGUGUAAUUCAGUGAUACUUUACUAGAUAAAUACUAGUUCUUUUCCUUUUAUAUGAUUACAUUAAACAUUUUCACGUAAACUAAGCUCAAAGCGGACAACGAUGAAAACGAUGUUGCUUUGAUAAUGUUGCUAUAUUGUGUCACGAUUUGUUUAAGAGAAGUUUAACAGGAUUAUUUAUUAUAUUAUGUUGUGGUAAAAAGCUCUCAGACAGAAAACCCUUCUAAUUUAUAAGAAACCGUUGGUUUUGUUUCUUAAUCUUAGAAUAUUAUAAGUGUACCUAGCUUUAGAUAAUAUUUGUUGGUGCACAUUUUAUAAGUACCUAACCGAAAACUGCAGUGUAGUGCAUGUUUUAUGUGCGCACAAUAUAAACGAAAACCUAAGAUUAA